rnacentral:rRNA from 1 species
AUUGAACGCUGGCGGCAGGCUUAACACAUGCAAGUCGAGCGGGGUGAUGGUGCUUGCACUAUCACUUAGCGGCGGACGGGUGAGUAAUGCUUAGGAAUCUGCCUAUUAGUGGGGGACAACAUCUCGAAAGGGAUGCUAAUACCGCAUACGUCCUACGGGAGAAAGCAGGGGAUCACUUGUGACCUUGCGCUAAUAGAUGAGCCUAAGUCGGAUUAGCUAGUUGGUGGGGUAAAGGCCUACCAAGGCGACGAUCUGUAGCGGGUCUGAGAGGAUGAACCGCCACACUGGGACUGAGAAACGGCCCGUAUGCCGACGGGAGGGAGCAGUGGGGAAUAUUGGACAAUGGGGGGAACCCUGAUCCAGCCAUGCCGCGUGUGUGAAGAAGGCCUUAUGGUUGUAAAGCACUUUAAGCGAGGAGGAGGCUCUUUUGGUUAAUACCCAAGAUGAGUGGACGUUACGCGCAGAAUAAGCACCGGCUAACUCUGUGCCAGCAGCCGCGGUAA